rnacentral:rRNA from 12 species
UUUAGUUGGGCACUCUGGGGAGACUGCCGGUGACAAGCCGGAGGAAGGCGGGGAUGACGUCAAGUCCUCAUGGCCCUUACGGGUUGGGCUACACACGUGCUACAAUGGUAACUACAGAGGGCUGCUUCUUGGCAACAAGUGGCGAAUCCCAAAAAGUUAUCUCAGUUCGGAUUGCACUCUGCAACUCGAGUGCAUGAAGUUGGAAUCGCUAGUAAU